rnacentral:rRNA from 1 species
GACGUAGGGCGCGAGCGUUGUCCGGAUUUAUUGGGCGUAAAGAGCUCGUAGGCGGCUUGUCGCGUCAUUCGUGAAAACCUGCAGCUCAACUGCAGGCUUGCGGUCGAUACGGGCAGGCUGGAGUUCGGUAGGGGAGACUGGAAUUCCUGGUGUAGCGGUGAAAUGACGCAGAUAUCAGGAGGAACACCAAUUGCGAAGGCAGCUCGCUGGGACGUAACUGACACUGAGGCGCGAAAGCGUGGGGAGCGAACAGG